rnacentral:tRNA from 1 species
UGAAAUAUGGUACAAUAGGGAGGUCUUUGAACUUGAGAGUCAAAAGAUGCAGAUUCAAAUUCUGCUUUUGUUA